UGUAUGAAUUUGCUGCAGCAGCAGCUGCCUGGUAAUCACAAGCAGGAAAUCUACCAUUGAAGUCUGGAGACAAGGAAUAAUACAUGAAAAGAAGAAAGGAAGAAGGGGAGAUGAUGGUGCUUCAAAUUUCCAAUUCCAUGAGAGAUGCAAAUGACGCUGUCUCCCUACAGGGACAAGAGGGCCAGGGAAACUUCCCCUUGUUCAGCCAUCAGAAAAUAUGCAGGCUUGGACCAAAGGCAUCUUCUUGCUACCUGUAAGGAAAAAGGUCUUAAACUUCUAAGCCUCAAUGACUCCACUGCCUCUUCAUGCGCCUUGUUAAAAUGCAGACUUCCAAUCUGAGAUGGAUGAUGACUUGAGGGGCUCAGAGCCCUUGCUGGAGAAAUCUGUCAUCAGCUGCACUAAGUUGCUGCCAUGGAUCACUUAUUGAAUGCUUGCUGUGUGCAGAACACCAUUCUAUGGGCUUUCUGUGUAUUAUCCCAUGUUAUCCUUAUGACUGUCCCAUGAGGUCACUUGUAUUUUCUCUAUUGUGCAGAUGAGGAAACUGAGGCUCAGGGAGAUUAAGUUAUUUGUCUGAGGUCACAUAAAUGGUAGGUGGCAGUGAAGAUUUAGCUCUGUGUAGGUCUGCCUUCAAAUCUUGUGUGUAACCACCAGGCUAGUGGUUCUCAAAGUGUGGUCCCUGGGCCAGCAUCAUCAGCCUCACCUGGGGACAUGUAAGAAAUGCAGAUUCUCAGACUCCUCGCCUGAUGUGUGGAACUGGAAACCCUGGGGCUGGGUCUAGCAACCGUGGUUGAAGUUGGGCUCCAGGUGAUGCCGAUGCCUGCUCAAGGUUGAGAACCACUGAACUGGGCUAAGGUCCCUGCUCUCUGGCAGCAGUGCUGCAGUCUGAUGAGUCAGGGGACAGGAAAUGCUUCCAGAAUAAUAUUGGUUUUGAUAACAUGCUGCCUGCAGCUGCAAAAUGACAGUGGGGAUAAUAAUGGCAGGAGAAAUAGUGCAAUUUUUCAGGUCACAGAAAGUCAGCACUCCUUCCACGGGUCUAUAGAUCCAUCCACGAGAAGAGGAGCCAAGACACAUGAGUUCCCAUCUCAGCCACUUUGUCACUGGGGAUACUGGCAGCGGUUGAAGGACAGCACCAGAAGCUAGGGCUGGGGGAGGUUGGGAAGGAAGUGUGGGGAUGGAAAGCCUGCAGCUUCUGAAGGAGCAGGAAGUCUAAAAUGGCCCAGAAAUCAAAGGUAAGCAAACAAGUAUAACAUAGGCGAUACCCUAGAAAACAUGUAUGAUAGACAGUAGUCCCCCUUAUCUGCAGUUUAACUUUCUGCAGUUUCAGUUGCCUGUGGUCAAUUGUGGCCUAAAAAUAUUAAGGCAUUUUGAGAGAGAGAGAGAAAGAGAGAAAGAGGCACCAUACUCACAUAUUUAUUACAGUAAAUUAUUAUAAUUGUUUUAUUAGUUGUUAUUGUCAAUUUCUAACUAUGGCUCAUUUAUAAAUUGAAUUUUAUCAUAGGUAUAUGUAUGUAUGGGGAAAAUAGUAAAUAUAGGAUUUGGUAUUAUUCAUGGCUUGGAGGUCUUGCACUUACUCAUGCACUGGGGGUCUUGGAACAUGUCCCUAUUAGGUAAGAGGGGACUACUGUAUUUUAAAAUUUAGACUUCUGUUAAGCUGCUUAUUCCCCUUCUGUUAUAGCCUAAAUCAAUGCCUGAAUUCCUGGGGCUUGCAUUUGUUAAUGUAUGUGCAGUGAACAUGAAACAGCUGAAUCAUGAAGCCCAUGGUAGUGGGGCCAUGGCUGGGGGCAUGCUUUACAGAGGUUGUCAGCUCAUCGGCAUAGAUUAAUUUCUUCAUGGUAGCACCUGCUGGGAAGGUGGUUCAGCCCUGUCUUCUACUCCAGCCGUGCAGGGGGUAAGGCAUUUUGCAGAAAGCAUUUGUGGAUUUUUUCCAAAUCUAGGCAGUAAACAGAUUGCAUUCCCAGCACUCCCCCCAAAUUCCCUUCAUUUCCUAGAUCUGUGGAAAGGAGCACAUUGAAACAGAAAUAGAGGAGGUCAUAGAAAUCUAACUGAUGGAAACUGACUGCUGAUCUAGAUAUUAUUGUUAAGACAGAAUUUUGAAUUGAUACAGACAGUGAGAUUGAGAAGGCUCUGCAAUGAAUGAUGCUGGGAGGAUCACCGGGUCCAAGUGUUCAGCAGGAACCAGGACCAGAAGAGAAACAUUUAAUUAGGGAAGGUAAUGAAAAGGAAGGGAGGAUGGGCAGCCACGAGCACUCACUCUGGUUACACCUUUGACUUAGUUGUAUAUGUAAAAUCAGUGAGUAUUAUAAUAGAAUCUCUUAGCUCUGUCAGAAAAAUAUCUGCCUUAUGGGCAAUAUUAUGCCAGACUUUAAAUACAGUUCUCAGGGGAUCUACUCUGUUUUAUAUUGAAAUUCAUCUAAUUAUAAUGUGUUUCUCACUUUGGUCAAACAGUAGGAAAGCUCAGAUUUACACAAAAGAUAAACCAAGAACCAGUUAUUUUCUCAACUAGAGGAUUCUUCAGAUUGCAAAAGAUGUCAUCAUAAUAUUUCCUUUAAUUGCAAGCUUUAAAUAUUAAUGCAUUUAAAAUCAAGUUUAAACCUGAUUAUUUUCUCUAGCUUGCAUAUUGCACACAGGGAGGUACGUUUAUCUGUUGAAUGUGUUUCAUAAUGGAUUUUGCUCAUACUGAGAAGUGGCCUGUGCAGGCAUGGAUGCACUAUGAAUCAGCAGUUUUUGUGGUCACCGUUGUCUUCUGUACCUCUCUGGGAUCCUAACAUGAAUAAGGCAUCAUUAAGUCCUCUCAGCUUUUCAUUGGUUAGACUACAUCAGUCACAGCUUUCAAGGUCUCAAAGAAGAUUCCUUGACCUACAGAUACUCUCGUUUAUAAUCAUACACACCCAGUGUAUACACACAUGCACACACACACACACAAUUUGUUUAUCUAACUCACCUAAGCCUUUAUUUUAAUUUCAGCUGAUUUUGGCAGUAGGUUGUGUACAAUUGAUAUCUGCAAGUCAAUCUGUGAAUCAAUACACAAAUUAUUUUUGAAAGUAUUUUGAAAGAGUAUUACUCACUUGGUGCUAUGGAACCAAGGCCACUUUGCCUGGGUUGACUUACCCUGGUCAGAGCUCACAGAGGUUUGGCCAGAACCAGGUUUGACAGUUGACAUGUCUCUUAUUAUCAAGUGUGAAAAUCAUGUGUUCCCUGGACACAUUGGGGCGAACAACACACACUGGGGUGUGUUGGAGGGUGGGGGAUGGGAGGAGGGAAAGCAUCAGGAAAAACAGCUAAUAGAUGUUGGGCUUAAUACCCAGGCGUUAUCAUGGGAUGAUCUGUGCAGUUAUUCACUACGGCACAUGUUUAACUAUGUACCAAACCUGCACAUCCUGCACAUGUACCCCUGAACUUAAAAUAGAAGUUGGAAAUAAUAUAAAACAACUUUUAAAAAGAAAGAAAAUCAUGUGUUCAUUCUAUUUACCUUAUGGUUUUAAUCCGAGUCUUUACCCAAAUCUCCAGGUUCACUUCCAGUUGAGAACCUCACAUCUCCGUAGCCCUACACAAUAUAUUCUUGACGGUCCAAACAUGAGCCACCUUUAGGUCAUUUCUCCCCACUUUUUAUUUGGGUGGAGCUUGUGGAGCAAGCAUGAAAUGUUGCUUCUACUUCCCAGGGUGAUACCUGAGUUUCAGGUGCCACAGUACCUCUUACAAUAAAAUUUUGGCUCUAUUUAAUGUAUCAUUUUAUUCUCAUCUUCCUGAUGUGGGAUAUUCUAGGAAACUGCUUGAACGAAAUGAACCUCAUUGAGAGUGGACAUCAAGAUGUGUUGAACGCUUGAUAAAUCAGAGACUGAAAGAGACUGGAGGGAACUUGACUCGAUUCCAAGUUAGACAGGGCUGUGGCUGUCUCAUGUGUGGUGCUGGUGUUAAAAUGCAGGCUCUGAAGAGAAGGUGGCAAAGGAUUCCUUAAGCUGAUGCCUAAGUCCAUUACUACGUUCAGGACACCCUGCCACUAAGGAAGUUGUGGAGGGAAAACCUGGAACCACUCUGAACCGCAACGGAUUUUUGGAAGCUCUUGGCUCUUUCUGCUGCCAGCCGUGUUUAUAAAAUGCUGCUACUCACAGUAACAAUGUACUGUUUUAAAGCAUCUCAUACGCGUCAUUUCCUUUUGAUAGUCACAACAGCCCUGUAAGGUAGGCCUUAUGGAAUGGGCCUUAUUGUUAUUUUUAUGCAACACAUGCUGAUAAGUGAGGAUAAACUCGUCCAAAGGUGAGGGGCAGAGACAGAGCUCUGGUCUGGGUGUCCUGGCCUCAGAUGCAAGUUUGCAUUUAUCUCUCUGCAGGCCCCUGCAAGCAGUGAGCAAGACAGAUG